rnacentral:rRNA from 1 species
UAGGGAAUCUUCCGCAAUGGACGCAAGUCUGACGGAGCAACGCCGCGUGAGUGAAGAAGGAUUUCGGUUCGUAAAACUCUGUUGUUAGAGAAGAACAGCGCAUAGAGUAACUGUUAUGCGUGUGACGGUAUCUAACCAGAAAGCCACGGCUAACUACGUGCCAGCAGCCGCGGUAAUACGUAGGUGGCAAGCGUUGUCCGGAUUUAUUGGGCGUAAAGCGAGCGCAGGCGGUCAAUUAAGUCUGAUGUGAAAGCCCCCGGCUCAACCGGGGAGGGUCAUUGGAAACUGGUUGACUUGAGUGCAGAAGAGGAGAGUGGAAUUCCAUGUGUAGCGGUGAAAUGCGUAGAUAUAUGGAGGAACACCAGUGGCGAAGGCGACUCUCUGGUCUGUAACUGACGCUGAGGGUCGAAAGCGUGGGUAGCAAACAGG